UACGUAGGGGGCGAGCGUUGUCCGAAGUUACUGGGCGUAAAGCGCGCGUAGGCGGCUAUUUAAGUCUGUGGUGAAAGGUUCAACGCUCAACGUGAACAGUGCCGUGGAUACUGGAUAGCUUGAGUUCGGGAGAGGAGAGCGGAAUUCCUGGUGUAGCGGUGAAAUGCGUAGAUAUCAGGAGGAACCCCGGUGGCGAAGGCGGCUCUCUGGCCUAGAACUGACGCUGAGGCGCGAAAGCGUGGGGAGCGAACGGG
rnacentral:rRNA from 1 species